rnacentral:rRNA from 1 species
GGUUCUUUGAUUAAUAUGAAGAAUCUGACCUGCCCUAUGAUAAUUAAAUGGCCGCGGUAUUUUGACCGUGCGAAGGUAGCAUAAUCAUUUGUCUUUUAAUUGAAGACUGGAAUGGAUGGUUGGACGUGAUAAUAACUUUUUUAAAUAUAAGGAUUAAAUUUUACUUUUUAGUGRAAAGGCUAAAAUAAGUCUAAAAGACMAGAAGACCCUAUCAAGUUUUAUUAUAUUAGUAUUGGAAAAUAGAGGAAAUWUUAUAAUACUUUUUAAUUUUGCUGGGGCGGCAGGAUAAAUAACUUACUAAGAUCCGAAUUUUUCGAUUAAUGGAUUAAAUUACUGUAGGGAUAACAGCGUAAUCUUAUUUGAGAGUUCAUAUCGACAAUAAGGGUUGCGACCUCGAUGUUGGAUUAGAAUACCUUUCUGGAGCAGAAUUUAGAUAAGGUGGUCUGUUCGACCAUAAAAUUUCUACA